GCAAACUUGGUCAUUUAGAGGAAGUAAAAGUCGUAACAAGGUUUCCGUAGGUGAACCUGCGGAAGGAUCAUUACCGAGUUAGGGUCCCUCGUGGCCCGACCUCCCAACCCUUGUGUUUAACCAAAUCACGUUGCUUCGGCGGGCCCGUCUCCCCUCGCCAGAGGGAGGACCGUCGGGCUGUUCUCACAGCCUGGCCCGUUGCCCGUCGAUAGCCCAACUUAUCAAACUCUUGUUAAAACCUUUGACGUCUGAGUAUAAAAUUUUAAUUAAAUUAAAACUUUCAACAACGGAUCUCUUGGUUCUGGCAUCGAUGAAGAACGCAGC
rnacentral:misc_RNA from 1 species